GAGUUUGAUCCUGGCUCAGAUUGAACGCUGGCGGCAGGCCUAACACAUGCAAGUCGAGCGGAUGAAGAGAGCUUGCUCUCUGAUUCAGCGGCGGACGGGUGAGUAAUGCCUAGGAAUCUGCCUGGUAGUGGGGGACAACGUUUCGAAAGGAACGCUAAUACCGCAUACGUCCUACGGGAGAAAGCAGGGGACCUUCGGGCCUCGCACUAUUGGAUGAGCCGAUGCCGGAUUAGCUAGUUGGUGGGGUAACGGCCCACCAAGGCGACGAUCCGUAGCUGGUCUGAGAGGACGAUCAGCCACACUGGAACUGAGACACGGUCCGGACUCCUACGGGAGGCAGCAGUGGGGAAUAUUGGACAAUGGGGGAAACCCUGAUCCAGCAAUGCCGCGUGUGUGAAGAAGGCCUGCGGGUUGUAAAGCACUUUCGGAGGGGACAAAAAGCGUCGGGCUAACACCCAGGCGUCUUGAUUUAACCCUCAUAAGAAGCACCGGCUAACUCUGUGCCAGCAGCCGCGGUAAUACAGAGGGUGCAAGCGUUAAUCGGAAUUACUGGGCGUAAAGCGCACGCAGGCGGCUGCAUAAGCCGGUCGUGAAAUCCCCGGGCUUAACCUGGGAAUUGCGAUCGGGACUGUGCGGCUAGAGUGUUGGAGAGGACAGCGGAAUUCCCGGUGUAGCAGUGAAAUGCGUAGAUAUCGGGAGGAACACCUGUGGCGAAGGCGACCCCCUGGUUGGAUACUGACGCUGAUACGCGAAAGCGUGGGGAGCAAACAGGAUUAGAUACCCUGGUAGUCCACGCUGUA
rnacentral:rRNA from 1 species